CUAACAGCAUAUUCAAUGAAACCCAAACCAAGAGUCGUAUAAAUUGCUCACUCUCUUCAACUGCAACGUCACACUCCUUUCUUCUUGCGUCUUUUCUUGGGUUUUUGAGAUUCAUUAUCAAGAAAAAGAAAAGAUGGUCAUGAGCAAUCUACUUCUAUCUGCUCUCAAAACCCAGUUCAGUUCAUACACCAAAUGUGUUACUGCCUCUGGCAGUUCACAGAAACAUUUACUUCAGGCUCC
rnacentral:misc_RNA from 1 species